rnacentral:rRNA from 1 species
GGUGGAAUGCGUAGAUAUCAAGAGGAACGCCAGUGGCGAAAGCGACUUGCUAGGCCUGUCCGGACGCUGAGGUGCGAAAGCCAGGGGAGCGAACGGGAUUAGAUACCCCGGUAGUCCUGGCCCUAAACGAUGUCCACUAGGUCGGAGGUUCUCUGACGGAUUUCCGGCCGAAACGAAAGCGUUAAGUGGACCGCCUGGGGAGUACGGUCGCAAGGCUAAAACUCAAAGGAAUUGACGGGGGCUCACACAAGCGGUGGAGCAUGUUGCUUAAUUCGAUGCAACGCGAAGAACCUUAUCCUGGGCUUGACAUGUUCGGAUGCCCUCCUGGAAACAGGUCGGGUUGCCCUUCGGGGUGAAACGUUCACAGGUGCUGCAUGGCUGUCGUCAGCUCGUGUCGUGAGAUGUUGGGUUAAGUCCCGUAACGAGCGAAACCCUUGUCGUUAGUUGCCAGCGCGUCAUGGCGGGGACUCUAACGAGACUGCCGGUGUUAAACCGGAGGAAGGUGGGGAUGACGUCAAGUCCUCAUGGCCUUUAUGCCCAGGGCCGCAAACGUGCUACAAUGGCCGAUACAAACCGACGCAAGACCGCGAGGUGGAGCAAAUCGGAAAAAGUCGGCCCCAGUUCGGAUUGGAGUCUGCAACUCGACUCCAUGAAGUCGGAAUCGCUAGUAAUCGUGGAUCAGCGACGCCACGGUGAAUGUGUUCCUGAGCCUUGUACACACCGCCCGUCAAGUCAUGGAAGCUGGGAGCAACCCGAAGUCGGGGCGAUUCAGCCCUGCCGAAGGUGAGCUCGGUAACUGGGACUAAGUCG